ensembl:lncRNA
GUUUUGGUCACUUAUAAGGGUACAGGGCGUAAAACGAGAAUGGCAAAUGGAAGAUAAUGAGAUUUAUAUAUGAAGUACACAUUUCAAAAACUUGAUUCGGUAUGCUUUUUAGGUUGUCCAGUUAGCAGGCUUAGACUAUGGAACCAGAAGCUAAGGGGAUAGCCUUAAGUUAAAAUCAGAGAUCCUUUCCACCUGCACGCCUUACAAAUGAAAGCUAAGUGUAGUGUUACCAUGCUACACCAGAGAUACUCUGUGAUUGGAAUUAAUUUUCGGAUUUUUAAUUCAAUAUCUACACACACCUUCUUGGCCAAAUGAAAUAUCACAUAUGGAUACAACAAUACAAUAGUGAUAAACAAGCAGAUUUACUCAGUGGUUGCAGUUGUGUUAGAAGUGUUCAAACUUUCCAGUGUGAGUGACUUUUGAUCUGAGUACAGCAACAUUUUUGUCUUCUGUGUGUUGAAGUUUGUGACAUAUUGCUAUAUCACUGCACAGUUUCCAUUUCCUGGAAGAGUCCCAGCUCCUUUGGGGGUUUGGGUAAUAAUGUAUGUACACUAUACAAGUGUAAUACCAAACGUGAUUAUGUGUAUGCUAUACAGUGAAUAUUAGACUUAAUUCAUUCGCAGGAAAAAUGUCAUGUAUGAAGGUGUCACCUCCGUUUGUGUGGAUGUGUCGUCUUUUUGCCUGAGUCAUUGUUUGAAUUUAGAGUGUAUAAAAUAGGUUUGCUUUACAACAGGUCCUCUUAUUUUGUCUGCGAUUGCUGGCAAGUCAGGCAGUUCCCUAAAUUUGUACAGAGUCUUUUGGACAAAAGAAACUGCUCAAAGAGAUCUAUUUUAUUAUAGUCCUUUAUUAUGUUCAAUGUUACUAUCUUAUUUUUGACAAUAUUCUUCUUUAAAGCAUCUCACUAAAGUGAGGACCUGAAGAUCUCGCGUAGACUGAACGGGUGACUACAGGACCACAGAAUGAUGUCGGAGCAUCUCAAACAGUUACAUUUCUGUGCUAUAGCUACAUGAAGCACAAUUAGAGCUUAAAACGGUUCAGUUUUGUGGUGUAUGACCUCUAGGCCGAGGUAAUGAAAACUGAUUUUGACUAGCUUUUGCUGCUCAUGUAUUACUCUUGUACAGGAGUACCGCCUAAAGCUGUGCACUCAGCCAUGAUGUGCAAAAGGGUCACAUUUAAUAAAGAUGGUUAUGAUCCGAGAGGCUCUGUCAUCAUUUCUUUUAUUUAAAUAUCACCACUAGCUGGCGGUAUUGACUUUUAGUGUGUAGACUGUAUAUACAGCCUAUGCUUGGUGUGUUGCAAUAGCAUCACAAAAUGGGAUGGAUCAUGAUGACAUGAUGGUCUCGAAUCCUGAAAUGGAUCAUGGGUUCAACAAGUUCAGGUAAAUUUGUUAUAUAUAAAUGUGUACAUCCAAGAACAUACAUUUUCACUCCCCGACUUUAUUUAUUUAUUCAUUCAUCAUUAACUCAUUAUAAAAUAGAGGCAUGGUGCUAACAGCCAAGCUUAUAAUUUUUUCAUAGACUUGUUACCUAUAAAAACACAGAUGCGUAAGUGAAGUUCUGACUUUUGCUACUCUACCCAGUACAAAAAAGAAAAGAAUGAAAGCGAAGAAGAUAAAAUGUACAUUUUGUAUAGUGUGUGUGUGUGUGUGUGUGUGUGUGUGUGUGUAUUUGAUUAGGGGAGGGAAAAAAGAGCCUAAAAUUAAACAACGAUUUCCCCCAUACAUGCACUGACCGGUGUCGCUAUAUAAGUAUUACAAACUUUUAUCAACUUUUUGUCAACUUAAUUUUCACCUGAAAAUCUC